ACUCAAAUGAAUUGACGGGGGCCCGCACAAGCGGUGGAGCAUGUGGUUUAAUUCGAUGCAACGCGAAGAACCUUACCUGGGCUCGAAGUGUGGUGUAAACUCGUGAAAGCGGGGUAUCCCUUCGGGGAGCGCUACAUAGGUGCUGCAUGGCUGUCGUCAGCUCGUGUCGUGAGAUGUUAGGUUAAGUCCUGCAACGAGCGCAACCCUUGUCUUUAGUUGCCAUCAGGUAAUGCUGGGAACUCUAAAGAGACUGCCGACGUCAAGUCGGAGGAAGGUGGGGAUGACGUCAAGUCCUCAUGGCCCUUACGUCCAGGGCUACACACGUGCUACAAUGGCCGGUACAGAGCGUCGCAAGACCGCGAGGUGGAGCAAAUCGCAAAAAACCGGUCUCAGUUCAGAUUGCACUCUGCAACUCGAGUGCAUGAAGUUGGAAUCGCUAGUAAACGCGGAUCAGCAGGUCGCGUUGAAUACGUUCCCGGGCCUUGCACACACCGCCCGU
rnacentral:rRNA from 1 species